UGGCUGCAAACGAUUGACUUGAUGCUUGAUUGCUCCCGAUGAAGCCCUCCUAAAGGUCCCAAAGGGAGGAGUGCAGAGAGCUUCCGGGUCACGGUCACGGGACACACCCACCUUGGCGGGGGUGAGGAGCACACCCCACCCGGCCAGGGACAGAGCCUCCUGCACCCGGGACCCCUCCCAGCCCCUGCUGCUUGCACCCCUUCAUCUGGCAAUCCAUCUGCAAACUACUUGCUAACGUCCAAUAAAGUGAUAAGGGGCCACUGAGGCCAAUGAGACAUUUGCUGCAAGAGUGAAAUCUGAAAGGGAACCAAAAAACUCAAUAAUCAAGGCAGGGCUACAGGGGAGCUGCAGGUUUUCAUUGGAGGCCCAAGGAAGAGGACAGAGCCUUCCUGGAAGCUUCUCUGGGGAAGAUGUGGUAGGUCAGGUCAACAGAUGAGGACAGGGAACAAACACAGAAUCAAGACAGGACCUGUCAACAGAAGACAUGUAUUAAAGCUACAGUAUCAGCCUGGAAUGCAGAAAAUACAAAGUGGUCUCGUGCAGUGAUUCUCAGCGUUGCUGUGCGUUAGAAUCAGCCACCCGGUAGGAAAAGAACCUUCAGCGGACUAAAGGCAAGUCACGUUGCGCCAGGCCUUGGUCUCACGAGAGAUAGCAACUUUGCUCCUCCAGGAGGGGCGCAGACAAAACACACCACAGUAUGAGACCAGACUCUUGCUCCCUGUUCCUUCUCUGCGCCUCUGAUUCAGGGACGGUCAUGAAUACUCUCAAGGAUGGUACAGAUCAGGUCAGACAGUGUGUGCUAAGGGCUUCCUAGUUCAUUCCCACACAGCUACUACUGUCGUCACCACCACCAGCCUAUACAGACCACACUCCCCCCCACCCCGCUCCCCCAUAGCUGCCAGUACUUACUUAAGAUAGAACCCUUGUUGAUCGCAAGCCCAUGGACUACUAGUACCAUUUGUAUAUGUCGGUACCACGUUUACUAGCUUCACCCGUUCACUUACAUUAAAGUUCCAGUACAUGGUUGAAAAGACAAUUUUUCUAUCUAAACUAAGACCACGAAUUCAAAGGAAAAAGGCAACUAAGCCUUAAACCAUGUCACUUCUAAAGCAUCAACACCCAGAUGAAUGAACGGCUUUUCAGAGUGACCCGUCCGGCCACUCUCUGAUGUUCCCUUAUAGUGAUGGGAGUCUCUGGUUAUAGAUGGAAACAUCUAUAGAUGGAAACAAGAAUAAAGGACUUGCCAUCCUCAUCACUGCCUAUGUUCACUAUACUACACAAUCACACUACACAGUGAAAGUUUUUGGCCAUGUAAGUAACUACCCACGUAAGUAUCUGCGGUUCUAAUAUUCUGGAACUACAACCAAAGCCAGAGAGGUGCAGAGUCAGGCUAGGGGAGGGGCCGUCAGCCUCGGCAACACGGACAUUUUGUGUUGGAGAAGUCCUUUCUGGGGGGCCGUCCUGUGCGCAGCAGGAGGAGGUGGGCUCUCUGGCCCUGACACACCAACCAAACGUCUCCGGGGUUGGGGUGGGGAGGUCAAGAUCCUCCCCAGGGAGAAGCAGGGAGCUGGAACUUCACAGACAUAACUGAGACUCUGCGUGCACAGAUCACACAGGACACCGUGGAAUCUUCCUCAGUGGAGACGGCAGCAUGUGGGCCCCCUGCCGUGUGUGCCGGACGGACUGCCAGAACCCACGGUCCCCACACGGACCCACCUCUGUCCUCCCGCAAACACAGACGUGACACAGGGAAAAACACAGUUCAUCUUCCACCAGUGUUCUGUGGCCCGACACAGAGGGAAAGCUCCAGUUCACAGACAUCUGCUACGUGGGGAGCCAGCUCGGUCAGUGCAAGUGGCCCUCCUUCUGGAUCCGAAGUCUCUCCUUCUCCACCUGUAAGCGCUCCUUCUCAAUCUGCAGCUUCUCCGACUCAAAUUUCAGAAACUGCAGCCGCUCCUUCUCAAGCUGUAGGCGCUCCCUCUCGAGUUUCAGCCUCUCCGUUUCCAGGUCCUGGGGCUGCGGCCCCGGCUUCUCGCCCUGGCCCAGCUCACUGUCCGAGGAGGGCGGCUUCUCGGAGCUGACCGCCUGCAGCCUCAGCUUCUCCCGGUCGACGUGCAGCUGCUCCCGCUCCAGCUGCAGCCGCUCCCGCUCCAGCUGCAGCCGCUCCCGCUCCAGCUGCAGUCGCUCAGCCUCCAGGUCCAGGCGCCGCAGCCGCUCCCGCUCCAGCUGCAGCCGCUCGGCCUCCACGUCCAGGCGCCGCUUUUCCAGCUCCAGCUUCUGCUUCUCCAGGUUGACCAGCACGUGGGGCUCGUCGUAGGCAGAACGGGACGGCGUGGAGUUCAGGGUGAAGAACUCCUCGAUGUGGGGGAAAUCGGGGAGUUCGCUCUCCCUCCUGGAGUCCGGGAUGACGGCCGACAGCAUCUCCUCCUCCUCCUCGAUCUCAAACUAGAAGGACAAAGCACUUUUCAGGACGUAUCUCUGCUUCGGCGGGUAAUGUGUCUAAACACCGCUUUAAAGCUUUGUGCACCGUGCGAGCACAGAAAACCACUGGGGUUUUGAAAGAUAUUUAUCAGACUUGCCUGUUGUCACUAAUACAGGUGACCCUUCAACAACGCGGGCUGGAGCUGUGCGGGUCCACUUACACAUACAUUUUCUCGCUCGGUACGGUGCAGGACUGGAAAUGGAUCUUCUCUUGCAACUUUCUUAACUAUUUUCUAUAGCUUGCUUCAUGUUAAGAAUACAAUAUAUGGUACACAUAACAUA